AUGCCGAACAUUAACAAGGGAGAUGUGACUCCCUGGAUAAAAAUGUUCAGUCUUCUGUACCUGCUGGCAGCCCUUCCCGGUAUCCUGUCUGAUGUGCAGCUUCAGGAGUCAGGACCUGGCCUGGUGAAACCUUCUCAGACGGUGUCCCUCACCUGCACUGUCUCUGGCAUCUCCAUCACCACUGGUAAUUACAGGUGGAGCUGGAUCCGGCAGUUUUCAGGAAACAAACUGGAGUGGAUAGGGUACAUAUACUACAGUGGUAGCAUUACCUACAACCCAUCUCUCAAAAGUCGAAUCUCCAUCACUAGAGACACUUCAAAGAACCAGUUCUACCUGCAAUUCGACUCUUUGACUACUGAGGACACAGCCACAUAUUACUGUGCGAGAGACACAGUGUGGAAUCUUCAGU